GUAUGCUUACACAUGCAAGUCGAACGAAAGUUUUAACUUUAGUGGCGAACGGGUGCGUAAUACGUGAGAAUCUGCCCUUAGGAGAAGAAUAACUGCUGGAAACGGCUGCUAAAUCUUCAUAUGUCGAGAGAUGAAAUAGCUUAGGCUGCCUAAGGAUGAGCUCACGCCUGAUUAGCUAGUUGGUGAGGUAACGGCUCACCAAGGCCACGAUCAGUAGCUGGUUUGAGAGAACGAUCAGCCACACUGGGACUGAGACACGGCCCAGACUCCUCCGGGAGGCAGCAGUGAGGAAUUUUCCGCAAUGGGCGAAAGCCUGACGGAGCAAUACCGCGUGAGGGAUGAAGGAUUUUGGUCUGUAAACCUCUUUUCUCAAGAAAGAAGUUCUGACGGUACUUGAGGAAUAAGCAUCGGCUAACUCCGUGCCAGCAGCCGCGGUAAUACGGGGGAUGCAAGCGUUAUCCGGAAUCAUUGGGCGUAAAGCGCCUGUAGGUUGUUUAAUAAGUCUGUUGUUAAAGACUACGGCUUAACCCUANAAAAGCAAUGGAAACUAC
rnacentral:rRNA from 1 species